ACUGAAUCAGGUCGGCUUUGUGCAUUUAUUACUAAAGUAAAAAAAGGAAGUUUAGCUGAUACUGUAGGACAUCUUAGACCAGGUGAUGAAGUAUUAGAAUGGAAUGGAAGACUACUGCAAGGAGCCACAUUUGAGGAAGUAUACAACAUCAUUCUAGAAUCCAAACCUGAACCACAAGUAGAACUUGUAGUUUCAAGGCCUAUUGGAGAUAUACCGAGAAUACCUGAUAGCACACAUGCACAACUGGAGUCCAGUAAGUUUUAUUUAUGCUGGAAGAAAAUGUUAUUUAUAAUUGCAUUCAUCAGAAGUCAGAUGAAGUAUUUAGCUAGUAAUGUGAAGUAAGAAAUAUGAUAACCUUGUUAUUAAGUCUGUAAGCAUAUAAAGAUGGAAAAUUUAGUAUUAUUUCAUGUCACUGUGGG
rnacentral:sRNA from 1 species